UACAGAGGGUGCAAGCGCUCAUCGGAAUUACUGAGCGUAAAGCGUGAGUAAACGGUUAUUUAUGUCAGAUGUGAAAUCCCCGGGCUCAACCUGUAAAUUGCAUUUGAGACUGAAUAACUAGGCUGCGAAAUAGGUAACCGUAAUUUCCGGUGUGGCGGUGAAGUGCAUACAUAUCGGAAGGAACAUCGGUGACUAAAGCGCCUUCCUGGCCUCACACCGACGAUCAGGCACGAAAGUGUGAGAAGCAAACAGGAUUAGAUACCCUGCUAGUCCACGCCAUAAACGAUGAGGACUACACGUUGCAGGGGAUAGCCUUUCAGUGUCGCACCUAACGCGUUAAGUCCUCCGCAUGGCGAGUCCGGCCGCAAGGUUGAAACUCAAAGGAAUUGACGGGGAUCCGCACAAGCGGAGGAUCAUGUGGUUUAAUUCGAUGCAACGCCAAAAUCCUUACCUGGUCCGGACAUCCACGGAAUCCUGCAGAGAUGCGGGAGUGCGAGCAAGGAUCCCUGAGACAGGUGCUGCAUGGCUAUCGUCAACUCGUCUCAGGAGAUUCUGGGCUAAAUCUCGCAUCCAGCGCAACCGUUGUCGUUAGUUGCCAUCAUUAAGUUCGGAACUUUAAGGAGCCCUCCGGUGACAAACCGGAGGAAGGUGCGGAAGACGUCAAGUCAUCAUGGCCUUUAUGACCAGGGCUACACACGCGCUCCAAUGGCAAGUACAGAGGGAAGCCAACCGGCGACGGGGAGCAAAUACCAGAAAACUGAUCGUAGUCCGGAUCGGAGUCGUGCAACUCAGACUCCAUGAAGUCGGAAUCGCUAGUAAUCGCAGAUCAGCAAUUCUGCGGAGAAUACGCUUCCGGGUUU
rnacentral:rRNA from 1 species